GACGAACGCUGGCGGCGUGCCUAAUACAUGCAAGUAGAACGCAGAAGGAAGGAGCUUGCUCUUUCUGGGUGAGUUGCGCACGGGUGAGUAACGCGUAGGUAACCUGCCUGGUAGCGGGGGAUCACUAUGGGAAACGGUAGCUAAUACCGCAUAAAAUUGAUUAUUGCAUGAUGGUCAAUAAAAAGGUGCAAGUGCACCACUACCAGAUGGACCUGCGUGGUAUUAGCUAGUUGGUGGGGUAACGGCUCACCAAGGCGACGAUACAUAGCCGACCUGAGAGGGUGAGCGGCCACACUGGGACGGAGACACGGCCCAGACGCCUACGGGAGGCAGCAGUAGGUAAUCUUCGGCAAAGGACGGAAGUCUGACCGAGCAACGCCGCGUGAGUGAAGAAGGAUCUCGGAUCGUAAAGUGCUGUUGUAAGAGAUGAACGGGUGUUAGAGUGGAAAGUUCACACUGGGACGGUAUCUGACCAGAAAGGGACGGCUAACUACGUG
rnacentral:rRNA from 1 species